rnacentral:rRNA from 1 species
UACGAAGGGUGCAAGCGUUAAUCGGAAUUACUGGGCGUAAAGGGUGCGUAGGCGGUUGUUUAAGUCUGUCGUGAAAUCCCCAGGCUCAACCUGGGAAUGGCGAUGGAUACUGGGCAGCUAGAGUGUGUCAGAGGAUGGUGGAAUUCCCGGUGUAGCGGUGAAAUGCGUAGAGAUCGGGGGGAACAUCAGUGGCGAAGGCGGCCAUCUGGGACAACACUGACGCUGAAGCACGAAAGCGUGGGGAGCAAACAGG